rnacentral:rRNA from 1 species
UACGAAGGGGGCUAGCGUUGUUCGGAAUUACUGGGCGUAAAGCGUGCGCAGGCGGUCUCUCAAGUCAGGGGUGAAAGCCCAGAGCUCAACUCUGGAACUGCCCUUGAAACUGUGAGGCUCGAGUACGGGAGAGGUGAGUGGAAUUCCCAGCGUAGAGGUGAAAUUCGUAGAUAUUGGGAAGAACACCGGUGGCGAAGGCGGCUCACUGGCCCGUUUCUGACGCUCAUGCACGAUAGCGUGGGGAUCAAACAGG